rnacentral:rRNA from 1 species
AGGACUUGGGAGAGUACAUCGGGGGAGCCAGCAAUGGCACCCUGACGGCUCAAACUCUUACAAACUUGGUCAUUUAGAGGAAGUAAAAGUCGUAACAAGGUAUCUGUAGGUGAACCUGCAGAUGGAUCAUUU